rnacentral:rRNA from 1 species
CAAUAGCGUAUAUUAAAGUUGUUGCGGUUAAAAAGCUCGUAGUUGGAUUUCUGCUGAGAACGACCGGUCCGCCCUUUGGGUGUGUAUCUGGCUCUUUCUUGGCAUCUUCUUGGUGAACGUUGCUGCACUUGACUGUGUGGAGCGCUACCCAGGACUUUUACUUUGAGGAAAUUAGAGUGUUUCAAGCAGGCAUACGCCUUGAAUACAUUAGCAUGGAAUAAUAAGAUAGGACCUCGGUUCUAUUUUGUUGGUUUCUAGAGCUGAGGUAAUGAUUAAUAGGGAUAGUUGGGGGCAUUCGUAUUUAACUGUCAGAGGUGAAAUUCUUGGAUUUACGCAAGACAAACAGCUGCGAAAGCGUCUGCCAAGGAUGUUUUCAUUAA